rnacentral:sRNA from 1 species
UGUACCUGACUGUCAAGCAACUGAUCCUUUGCAUAUUUCCUUUCCUGUUGCUCCGUCUGCCACUGAAACAUCCCACACGGGAGUGAGAGAAACAUUUCGUUACUUUCUUCUGCAGAAACACUUCUACAACUUUCAAACUUGCUUGCAGUAUCCCCCAAUGCCAUGAUUCUAUCACCCCCACAAGCAGGAUGCUCAUGGGUUCCUUUCUAAAGUGCUCAAAGGUGUAUUCAGGGGGACCUGAGAACCUAUAUAUUGUAUCCCGUCAUUUAAAUGGAAACACGUCUUUCGAGCAUUAUUAUUUCCCACAAAUAGAAUGACCAUGUACUCCUUGUCCUGAAACAGAAUUUAUGCCUAGUUCUUCGACCUGAAUAGAAAUCAG